AUUUAUCUGAAGCAUAAAACAUGAAGUGAUUUGAGAUUUUAAGGCUUGUCCUGUAAUUGUGGGAGGCACUAUGUGCCCUAUUUAAACCCAGUAAGCCCCUGCUUACCUGUCGGCUACGAUCUCGGAAGUGCUCCUGUUUACUUCCGGUUCACUGGACUCUGACAUCAUUUUCCCGCCAGCCAGCCGGCUGGCCAGCAGUCUGUCAC